ACAGAGGUCCCAAGCGUUACUGAGAAUCACUGGGUUUAAAGGGUGCGUAGGUGGUCCGUUAAGUCAGUUGUGAAAUCCCCGGGCUCAGCCCGGGAACUGCUUCUGAUACUGGCGGACUUGAGGCCAGUAGGGGUCACUAGAACUGACGGUGGAGCGGUGAAAUGCGUAGAUAUCGUCAGGAAUGCCGGUGGUGAAGACGGGUGACUGGGCUGGUUCUGACACUGAGGCACGAAAGCGUGGGGAGCAAACAGGA
rnacentral:rRNA from 1 species